GGAGUCUGGGCCGUAUCUCAGUCCCAGUGUGGCCGUACACCCUCUCAGGCCGGCUACCCGUCAUCGCCUUGGUGAGCCCUUACCUCACCAACCAGCUGAUAGGACACGAGCACCUCCUAUGGCGCAUCUCUGCUUUAACCUCGCGGCCUAUGGGGUAUUAGCGUCCGUUUCCAGACGUUGCCCCCCGCCACAGGACAGCUUCUCAUGUUGUACUCACCCGUCCGCUGCUCCGCUCGUCCCUCCGUGUUGCCACUUCAGAACGUCGUCGCUCAACUUGCAUGUGUUACGCACGCCGCCAGCGUUCGUCCUCGAGCCACUGAUCAAACUACU
rnacentral:rRNA from 1 species